AGGUCGGGAUGCGGACACUUGCGUAAUACAUCCUUGUAUCUCUCCUAUGCCUCAUAUAAUGUUUCGCCCUCAAAUUGGGUAAAGGUAGUAAUAUCAUUCCUUAACUU